UCAUUGGCGCAAUGGUGAGCGCGGCAGUCUCAUAAACUGAUGGUUACGGGUUCGAGUCCCGUAUGAUCC
rnacentral:tRNA from 1 species